rnacentral:lncRNA from 1 species
UUUGCGCAGCCGCCAACCGUCGCUUCAUCGAGCACGCCCCAUGCGUUCAAGAGUUGCAUCUGCUCGAUCUUCUCAAACAAUGUCAUGCUUUAGUUAUUUCUCUCCUUUCUAUUUAUGUAGAAGGCUUUUGUUUGUGCUAGAGAGUGAUAGGCAAGGUAGGUAAUUUUCUGAUUUAAUUUCUUUCCAUUUUUUAUCCUAAGAUUUUUUACUUGGGAAAUGAUGGCGAAUUUUUGGCUUGGUGCAAUUGCAGGUUCAAACAGGCAUAUCUCUGAACACCUUGGGCUCUCUAGGCUAUGAGAUGGAUCAUGGAUGGAGACGGAGAUGGAGAAAAUAUGAUCCUACGGCUCACAAUCUUGACACCUCCGCCAUCAGCAUAGAAUAGCAGUGGGUCAUUCUAAACUAGGUGAUCAGCUAAAAAUAUCCCAUGAUAAUCAUUAACGAUUAUAUGGUAAGUAAUUAGCAAUUCAACAUGUCUGCAUUUAUUUUUUCCUACAAAACUAAUCACACUUUGGAUUAGCUUGAUGAAACGAGAGAUACUGUCAUAUCCAGCCAGGUUGUUAAUUUAACAGAGAGAGGGGAACCAACAAAGGCACUCCAUGGGGAAUGGCUGUGGCCAGAUUUGUUAAUGGUGUUGCAGCUGCAAGUGUCGUGUGGCAUCUGUCGCGACCUAGAGGGCUAGAGGCAUAGACCACCGUCUAAUUUUCAAUUUAAAACACAAAUCAAGACCACUCUUGAGUUUUGCAUGAUUAACAUGGUUAAUAUUGCUAUAUAAAAAAUUAAUAAGAUCAAUUUGCGGGAAAUGAAAUGUAACUCUUUAAUUCAUUUACAUGUACUACAUAAUUAUCACAUGAGUAUUUUGUGCCAUCUUGUGAUAAGUCUAAGCAUCAUAUAAGUUGUGGAUCUUUCUAAUUGGUUGUUGAUCUGUCCCCUAGUAAUCAUACACAUGAUUUGUUUGCCACUACUUUUUAGAUGCACAAGAUCCUAUGUUGUAAUUGCCAAUGGUUACCUUCUGCUUUAUGUUUUCCUCUUGUACUUAGAUAAUAUAUGUGCUUUCUGAAGUGUCUUUUGAAACUAGACACUUUUCCCCAAUAACUACUCUCUAGUAUUUAUGUCUAACCAUGAUGCAACUUAAAACUUGUAGAGUACUAUUGUUUUUUCUUACUGUCAACAAGCACAAAUAGUUAGCUUAGGUUCUAAACUUUGUCAUUUGCAACCUGAUAUUUUUGUUUCCCCUUUGACCAUUCAAUCAUGAAACUACAUGGAUUUUCUAAUAUACUAACUCCAAAUUGAAUUCUCUCCGAGUUCGCCAUCUCCUCUCAACUCGAGAACUGGCAAUCACCAUGGAGACGAGACUCUUCCUCGCCCUCCAGUGUUGUGCAGUGCGCCACCAUGCAG